rnacentral:rRNA from 1 species
GACGCGCAGCGAGAGGUGCUUGCACCUUUCAAGCGAGUGGCGAACGGGUGAGUAACACGUGGAUAACCUGCCUCAAGGCUGGGGAUAACAUUUGGAAACAGAUGCUAAUACCGAAUAAAACUUAGUAUCGCAUGAUAUCAAGUUAAAAGGCGCUACGGCGUCACCUAGAGAUGGAUCCGCGGUGCAUUAGUUAGUUGGUGGGGUAAAGGCUUACCAAGACGAUGAUGCAUAGCCGAGUUGAGAGACUGAUCGGCCACAUUGGGACUGAGACACGGCCCAAACUCCUACGGGAGGCUGCAGUAGGGAAUCUUCCACAAUGGGCGCAAGCCUGAUGGAGCAACGCCGCGUGUGUGAUGAAGGCUUUCGGGUCGUAAAGCACUGUUGUAUGGGAAGAAAUGCUAAAAUAGGGAAUGAUUUUAGUUUGACGGUACCAUACCAGAAAGGGACGGCUAAAUACGUGCCAGCAGCCGCGGUAAUACGUAUGUCCCGAGCGUUAUCCGGAUUUAUUGGGCGUAAAGCGAGCGCAGACGGUUGAUUAAGUCUGAUGUGAAAGCCCGGAGCUCAACUCCGGAAUGGCAUUGGAAACUGGUUAACUUGAGUGUUGUAGAGGUAAGUGGAACUCCAUGUGUAGCGGUGGAAUGCGUAGAUAUAUGGAAGAACACCAGUGGCGAAGGCGGCUUACUGGACAACAACUGACGUUGAGGCUCGAAAGUGUGGGUAGCAAACAGGAUUAGAUACCCUGGUAGUCCACACCGUAAACGAUGAAUACUAGGUGUUAGGAGGUUUCCGCCUCUUAGUGCCGAAGCUAACGCAUUAAGUAUUCCGCCUGGGGAGUACGACCGCAAGGUUGAAACUCAAAGGAAUUGACGGGGACCCGCACAAGCGGUGGAGCAUGUGGUUUAAUUCGAAGCAACGCGAAGAACCUUACCAGGUCUUGACAUCCUUUGAAGCUUUUAGAGAUAGAAGUGUUCUCUUCGGAGACAAAGUGACAGGUGGUGCAUGGUCGUCGUCAGCUCGUGUCGUGAGAUGUUGGGUUAAGUCCCGCAACGAGCGCAACCCUUAUUGUUAGUUGCCAGCAUUCAGUUGGGCACUCUAGCGAGACUGCCGGUGACAAACCGGAGGAAGGCGGGGACGACGUCAGAUCAUCAUGCCCCUUAUGACCUGGGCUACACACGUGCUACAAUGGCGUAUACAACGAGUUGCCAACCUGCGAAGGUGAGCUAAUCUCUUAAAGUACGUCUCAGUUCGGACUGCAGUCUGCAACUCGACUGCACGAAGUCGGAAUCGCUAGUAAUCGCGGAUCAGCACGCCGCGGUGAAUACGUUCCCGGGUCUUGUACACACCGCCCGUCACACCAUGGGAGUUUGUAAUGCCCAAAGCCGGUGGCCUAACCUUCGGGAGGAGCCGUCUAAGCAGACAGUCGCG